rnacentral:rRNA from 1 species
UACGUAGGGAGCAAGCGUUGUUCGGAUUUACUGGGCGUAAAGGGCGCGUAGGCGGCGCGGUAAGUCACUUGUGAAAUCUCUGAGCUUAACUCAGAACGGCCAAGUGAUACUGCAGUGCUAGAGUGCAGAAAGGGCAAUCGGAAUUCUUGGUGUAGCGGUGAAAUGCGUAGAUAUCAAGAGGAACACCUGAGGCGAAGGCGGGUCGCUAGGCUGACACUGACGCUGAGGCGCGAAAGCCAGGGGAGCAAACGGG